rnacentral:rRNA from 1 species
AGUGAACGCUGGCGGCAGGCCUAACACAUGCAAGUCGAACGGCAGCACAGGGGUAGCAAUACCCUGGGUGGCGAGUGGCGGACGGGUGAGGAAUACGUCGGAAUCUGCCUAUUUGUGGGGGAUAACGUAGGGAAACUUACGCUAAUACCGCAUACGGCCUACGGGUGAAAGCGGAGGACCUUCGGGCUUCGCGCAGAUAGAUGAGCCGACGUCGGAUUAGCUAGUUGGCGGGGUAAAGGCCCACCAAGGCGACGAUCCGUAGCUGGUCUGAGAGGAUGAUCAGCCACACUGGAACUGAGACACGGUCCAGACUCCUACGGGAGGCAGCAGUGGGGAAUAUUGGACAAUGGGCGCAAGCCUGAUCCAGCCAUGCCGCGUGUGUGAAGAAGGCCUCGGU